rnacentral:lncRNA from 1 species
ACCAUGUUUUAUCCUUGUUGUUGGUGUUUAUUGCGCAUGCGCACAAAGCACGGUGAUAGUUACGGUUACUGACUCAGGAACCUUGUAUAUUAUAUACCUCGGUAUACAGACGUUUAAUAAACUGGAUCCCUGUUGUGUUCACUUAUCGAUACACUACGAUGGAAUUACGGACCAGUUUAACAUAAACAUGGUAAAUAGAUAGACAGCUGAUAAUCAUAAUUGAUUAAGAAAUAACCUGGAAGAAGAAAUGAGUUAACUAUUGAUUAUAACAGAGACGAGAAUGCCAUCGUGUUUGUUCUGCUAAAAAAAGCAGGAACAUUGGAGUUUAUGGUUAGAUUUUAAAUAUUUCUUGUCUCCAAACUGGGUAAAUUUGAUAUAGUAACACCCCCCCCUUUUUUUUAAAAUAACUCGAGAACCACACAUCGCGCUCGCUUAACAAAGUAACAAUAAGAAAUAAUUAUUGUUAGUUUCAAGAAUAAUUAAUCGUCAAAACUUAUCCCCUCCCCGACAUCAAAGGAAGUUAAAUGUAUUAUCCCAAAAUUAGACCAAAUUAUUAUGAUAUAAGGACGUCUUGACAGGCUAUUAUUUUAUUUUGUUUUGUUGGGUUUUUUUUUGCUUUGACGUCUUCCUCCUGUAUGAAAAAAAACAUAAUAGACCCCCCCCC